GACGAACGCUGGCGGCGUGCUUAACACAUGCAAGUCGAACGGAAAGGCCCCUUCGGGGGUGCUCGAGUGGCGAAACGGGUGAGUAACACGUGGGUGAUCUGCCCUGCACUUUGGGAUAAGCCUGGGAAACUGGGUCUAAUACCGAAUACACCCUGCUGGUCGCAUGGCCUGGUGGGGGAAAGCGUUUGUAGCGGUGUGGGAUGAGCCCGCGGCCUAUCAGCUUGUUGGUGGGGUGAUGGCCUACCAAGGCGACGACGGGUAGCCGGCCUGAGAGGGUGACCGGCCACACUGGGACUGAGAUACGGCCCAGACUCCUACGGGAGGCAGCAGUGGGGAAUAUUGCACAAUGGGCGCAAGCCUGAUGCAGCGACGCCGCGUGAGGGAUGACGGCCUUCGGGUUGUAAACCUCUUUCAGUGCCGACGAAGCGGAAGUGACGGUAGGCACAGAAGAAGGACCGGCCAACUACGUGCCAGCAGCCGCGGUAAUACGUAGGGUCCGAGCGUUGUCCGGAAUUACUGGGCGUAAAGAGCUCGUAGGUGGUUUGUCGCGUUGUCCGUGAAAACUCACAGCUUAACUGUGGGCGUGCGGGCGAUACGGGCAGACUAGAGUACUGCAGGGGAGACUGGAAUUUCCUGGUGUAGCGGUGGAAUGCGCAGAUAUCAGGAGGAACACCGGUGGCGAAGGCGGGUCUCUGGGCAGUAACUGACGCUGAGGAGCGAAAGCGUGGGGAGCGAACAGGAUUAGAUACCCUGGUAGUCCACGCCGUAAACGGUGGGUACUAGGUGUGGGUUCUUUCCUGAGGAUCCGUGCCGUAGCUAACGCAUUAAGUACCCCGCCUGGGGAGUACGGCCGCAAGGCUAA
rnacentral:rRNA from 1 species